rnacentral:rRNA from 1 species
AGCUCCAACAGUGUAUAUUAAAGUUGUUGCGGUUAAAAAGCUCGUAGUUGGGAGUCUGCCAAGGACGACCGGUCCACCCUUGGGGUGAGUAUCUGGCUUGACUGGGGCAUAUUCUUGGGCAGCGUGGCUGCACUUGACUGUGUGAUGCGAUAUCCAAGACGUUUACUUUGAGGAAAUUAGUGUGUUUCAUGCAGGCCCACGCCUUGGAUACCUUAGCAUGGAAUAAUAAGACAGGGCCUUGGUUCCAUUUUGUUGGCUUCUAGAACUGAGUUAAUGACAAAUAGGGAUACUUGGGGGCAUGCGAAUUUGAUUGUCAGAGGUGAAAUUCUUGAAUUUGUCAAAGGCGGACUACUGUGAAAGCAUUUGCCAAGAAUGUUUUCA